UGUCCCAUGGUGUAAUGGUAGCACUUCAGUUUUUGGUACUGUCAGUCAAGGUUCGAGUCCUUGUGGGAUAA
rnacentral:tRNA from 1 species